rnacentral:rRNA from 1 species
AUUGAACGCUGGCGGCAGGCUUAACACAUGCAAGUCGAGCGGGGUGAUGGUGCUUGCACUAUCACUUAGCGGCGGACGGGUGAGUAAUGCUUAGGAAUCUGCCUAGUAGUGGGGGACAACAUCUCGAAAGGGAUGCUAAUACCGCAUACGUCCUACGGGAGAAAGCAGGGGAUCACUAGUGACCUUGCGCUACUAUAUGAGCCUAAGUCGGAUUAGCUAGUUGGUGGGGUAGAGGCCUACCAAGGCGACGAUCUGUAGCGGGUCUGAGAGGAUUAUCGGCCACACUGGGACUGAGACACGGCCCAGACUCCUACGGGAGGCAGCAGUGGGGAAUAUUGGACAAUGGGGGGAACCCUGAUCCAGCCAUGUCGCGUGUGUGAAGAAGGCCUUAUGGUUGUAAAGCACUUUAAGCGAGGAGGAGGCUCUUUUGGUUAAUACCCAAGAUGAGUGGACGUUACUCGCAGAAUAAGCACCGGCUAACUCUGUGCCAGCCGCCGCGGUAA